rnacentral:lncRNA from 1 species
UCCAAAUUUGAUUGGUGGAACUCCAGUUCACAUGCAAAAAUAAAAACAGAAUAUCUCUGACGUUUAAAAUAUCAUUAUUUAUCUUCCUACAUUUAGCAUAAAAAGAAGCUCAAAACCCUGAAAAUAAUUCACAUUAAUUGAAAUAAGAUAACAUCUUGAACAGUAAAUAUUUAAAUUAUGCAAAACUGUUUGCAAUAUUUGGUAUUCAGCAUUAGCCUCCUGUAUCAAGCGCUCAUGACCUGGGCAAGUAACAUUAGGGAUGCAAGCCCUGUAUCUCUCAUUUAUCUGUGAUUUUACCAGACAUAUCUGGAAGAGCAUGGAAGCAGUUCAAGUGGAACGAGAAUUCUCAAAGAGCUUUCUGCAUGCUUUUUUUCCCCCUUCCGAAGUGGGGAGAAAGAUGCCAAUCUUGUCCGCAUAGCAGGAUGGCCUUACAACCUUUUGACAUUUAUUAUACAUAUAAUUCUUCAUACCACUCCAAUCUGGCCAAUUUCCUGCUCUUAUUCCAGAACUUGUGAUCAGUCCAUUUUUUGCGGUUGGUUGCCAUUUUACCGCUUUUGCUCAUUAGCCAAACAAACGAAAAGGAAAUUUAACUUUUUCGCUCCACAACCACAUGGAUUCAAACCACUUUAAUUUGAUUGGCUACCAAAAUUGACAACCCAGUUACAUCCAACUAGCAGCUUCUGAGGAGCCCAAAGACGAGAGUUUUUGGGAAAUAGAGAUGAUUCCCAAGCAUAUCUGUAGUGAUAACCAAAUGAUUGAAAGAGUAAGGGGAACAAAUAACUCGUGAAACCACAAACCAGGUGAACAAAUAACUAGUGAAACUAUAUAGGGGGAGCACAAAGCAAAGCACAGAGCACCCGGAACAGCUAUACCAAAAGAAGAAAUCAAACCAGCAGGGCUAGGUAUGAACCGCACUACCUUGCACUCACACCACAUCCUCCACAAAAUUCUAGGUUCUUCACCAUCGUGGUCCCUGUCUGAAGAGAAUGACGAAAUAAAUAGCCAGGACUUCCAAGGAGGUUAUUUCAUGCACAAAGAAGAGAUCAAACACAUGUCCACACACACAUUCAUGUCUAGGAUGUACAAUAAGAAAAAUCAACAGAAUCCAUCAUAAAAUCAACAAAUUUCAGCAAUUAAAGCAUAAAAUAUAUUUAGUUUCUAGCACUAGACGGUAAAUCCUAAUGCUAUGUCUAUAAUACUUACAAUCAAGAAAAACUGUAAGUUAUCUUAAUCAACAAAAUCAAAUGAAACAAUCUUAACCAUUAAAAUCUGCUUUAAAUCAUGCUAAUACAUUUUCUUGCACUAUCUACUUUGUUUACAUUUACCCCAUCCAUAUAAGACAGUAAGGUUAUGGAAUCCCAAGUUUUCUACAGUAAAUUCUUCCAUGGAUGCUAGAGCAGCAUAAAGAUAUUACCUCUUUAACGAUAUCAGGUGGGUUCUUAAGCAGGUUGAAGGCAGUUGAGAGGGAAGAAGAGAACCUCUCGAAGGAGAGACUAACCCUCCCCCUAUAUCAUUAUUGUCUAUAUCAUCCUGAAAAAACUAUUUGGAACUUAUAUUUAUCCUUACCGUUUCAAUUAAGUUGUUCAUCAAAAUCAUGACAAACUCUUGCUUCCUGGUUUUAUCUCACUCCCAAGUUGGGGGGAGCCUUUUUGCUUUGAUGCUAGACUGACAUGUUGCACCAAUCUUCUUGCACCACCAUAAUUACUUCAAAUGAACUAAGUUCACAAGAAGGAUGAUGAAAAAAAAAUUCAUUCUAUAUAUUUUAACACCAAGGGUAGUACUAAGUCCAUCUCUUUUAUUAUAUUGACCAUGGAAGAAGCAAUUUAUAGUAUCAGGAUGGUGCACCACAGUGCAUGCUAUUUGCAAACAACGUCAUUUUUUAUUAAUGAGAAGAGGAUUAGGUCAAUGCUGGAUCAGAUUUAUGAAGAAAAGAUUUAUAAGAUAAAGUUUAAAAUCAGGGUACAUAGAAUGCAGUUUAAUAAAAACAGAGAUGAAAAUGGGUUCCCAACCAAGAUUGGUGGACGAGAAAUGUAGAGAGAUCAGCUUUGUCAUCUAUGAUCUAUUUACCCAAGAAUAGAGAGAGAGAGAGAGAGAGAGAGAGAGAGAGAGAGGUANNNNNNNNNNNNNNNNNNNNGAGAGAGAGAGAGAGGUGUACAAAGAUCAGAGCUAGAUGAUUUAAGAGGUUCUUUUCAGGUGUCACUGGAAUGACAUACACCUUGGCAUUUGAAGGGAAAAUACUGCAAAAUGACAAUACAACCUGCAAGAGAUAGACAAGGUCCAAGAAACAAGAUAAAUUAAGUGGAAUGAGAAUGCUUGGUAAGACAAUGAAUCAUAAAGCAAAAAUUGAUUGUACAGGAGGAAUUGCAAAAAUUAUACUAAUUAAGGAUGAAGUAGUGAAAAAUUGAUUGAAAUGGCAUAGGCUUUUAAAUAAAGAUUCAAGAAGGAUCCAAUGAAGAGAGCUACUUGAAUAUUUGUAAAAGAAUUUUGGACAAGAAAGGAGGAUGCACAGUAAAUGGAUAGAAGUUAUGAGAAUGAUUUAGAAAGCUCUAGAUAAAGCCUCCUCCAUAGGAAUAAUUGAUGAAUGAGAAUUCAUGGAGAGAAUCCCAACAAAGAGGAUAAGGAUCGAUACUUUUGGUUAUAGAAAUUCUGUCAGUGCCAUGAGAUUCAUCAAGAUAGAUAAGGUAGAUGAGGAGGGAGAAGGGGAAAAAAAAGUACGCAAUAUAUAAUUACUUAUUUGAAUUAAAUCACAAAAUAUUAGUUUCUUAAUACUUUCAAAUUAGGGCAAUGGUGUUAUCAUGCAUUGUGUGUCUCAGUUUGACUCUGCGGACACAUUUUGUGCCCUAUUUAAGAACAGAGUUGCUUUCAUGAAACAUUAUCAUUAGUUCAUCACCCCUCUUUGUCGUGAGUGAAUGUUUCUAACAAAUUUUGGAGGACUACGAUGUCGUUACAUGAGCCUAAACUGCAUUGCAUGAGAUGGCUCCCUUUAUGACCAUGUUGCUUUCAAGAUUACACGUCAUGCCCUUUAUUGCCUUAACAUUGCAUCAAUCAGGAUCUCAACAAUGAUUAAAAGGUACAUAUUAAGGAAAUAAUGUUGCAAGAAUAAAAAUUGGAUCUACAUGAGAAAAUUAAUACCUUAUGGGAAGAGAUGGCUAAUUAAGAAAGUGGCUAUAGAAGUAUUAGGAAAAUCAAAAGGAAAAGGACAAUCUGAUAAGAAAAUUUGGUGGUGGAAUGAGAAAGUACAAUUGAUGGUUGUGGCCAAAAGAUAGUACUAUAGAAGACUACUUAAAUGUAGGGAUUAAGAAGCGUAUGAAAGCUAUAGGCUACCUAAGAAGUAAAAAGACGAUACGAAAGACUAGAUUCAAAACAUAUGAAGAGUUAUAUUGCAAGUUAGAAACUAAGGAUAGGGAGAAGAAUAUUUAUAAGACUGCAAGACUAAGAGAGGAAAAUUAGAGAUUUGACUUCGAAUAAAUGCUUCAAAAAUGAAAAUCAAAAGUUUUGGUUAAGGAGAUCAAAGAAAGAGGGAAAAGUUAUUUAAUAAACUAUUUAAUGAAAGUCAUGUAAACGACCUUGGGUGCCUUAUUACCAUUGAGGAUAGAAAUGUUAGUACAUAUGUAGAAUUAGAAAUAAAGAAUGCUAUGAAAAAGACGAAAAUAGGAAAAAUUGGUGAGACCUGAUGGAAUCUCUAUUGAGGUUUAGAAGUAUUUAGAUGAUGUAGGAGUAAUUUGGUGGACUACUUUGUUUAAUAAGAUUUUAAAAACAAAGAAGAUGCCUGAUGAAUGGAGGAAGAGCAUUAGAGUACCGAUUUAUAUGAAUAAAACUGAUAUUCAAAAUCAUUCUAGUUAUCAUGGUAUCAAACUCAUCAGUGUUGAAAAGGAUGAUGGAGCACAGAUUAAAAUGUGACAUAAACAUAUUAGAGAACCAAGUUGCAUUUAUGCCAAGACGGUCAACUAUGGAAACUAUUUUUCUCCUAAGGUUAAUAAAGAAAUAUAUAGGAAAGAGACAAGAUCUUUAUAUGGUUUUUAUUAAUUUAGAGAAAUUAGAGUUCUUGGAGAAGUUUUAUGGUGGGUGUUAGAAAGGAAAAAACUUUCCAUUAGGUAUAUUAAUAUGAUUAAGGAUAUAUACAAUGGAGUGGUUACUAGUGUAAGAACUAUUGAUAAUAAUACUAGUGAAUUCCCAAUUACAAUAGAUUUUCACCAAGUGUCUAAAAUAGAUCCUUAUCUUUUAGUGCUAGUUAUGGAUGAGCUUACUAGGCACGUUCAGAAAGAUAUUUAUGGUGCAUACGAUUUGUGAAUGUUAUAGUCUUGGUUGAUGAAACUAAGAUUAGAAUAAACUACAUGUUGGAAUUAUGAAGGAGCAUAUUAGAAUCUAAUAAUUUUAAAUUAAAUAGGACCAAGACAUAAUACAUGAAACAUUAGUUUUAGUAACAAUAAGAUAUAUAGAUGAAGGUGGAGUGAAAAUUGAGGAUCACAGAUCUAAUAGUGAUCAUUCGAUGUAUCUAGGAUUGAUUAUUCAUAAAGAAAGAAAAAUUGAAGAGAAUGCGAUCCAUAGGAUUUAAGCAAGUUGGAUAAAAUGGAGAAGUGGAAUUGGAAUAUUUUAUGAUCGUAGAACACCUGCCAAGUUGUUUAAAAAAUUUUUAUAAGACAGUCAUAUGACCAACUAUACUUUACGAUAUAAAAUGUUGGAUAGUUAGAAAACAACAUGUGCAUAAGAUGAGCAUCGUUUUAAUAAGACCAUCGAGAUGGAUGUGUGGUAAUACAAGAAAAAAUAGAAUAAGAAAUAAAGCGUUCCUAAAAACAGAGGUAGCAUCGUGUCAAUUAAGGAUAAAGUGAGAGAAAGAUGACUUAAAUGGUUUAGACAUGUACAACAUAAGCUGAGAGAUCCACCAAAUGGAGUAAGUUGCUAUAUAUAGAUUGAAAGAGGGAUUGAGGUGGAUCAGAAAUCAUAUAAGAUGAAGUAGUAAGGAAGGACUUGAUAGGGCUACAUCAUUCAAAAAGUGUGACCCUAAACAGAGCUGAAUGGAAGAAAAGGAUUCACAUAGCCGAUCCUAACUAGUUUGGGAUUGGGGCUUAGCAGAGUUAAAUAUUAUGUUUGACAAUUGGUUGGAAUUAAAUCAAUCUGUUUAAAAAAACUUUUCAAUUGAGAGUUUCUGCUCCAUAAUCAACCAUAUAUUAAUGAGAAAAUAAUACUUGGAUGAUGAAGAUAUAACAACAACAACAAUAACUACUACUACUACUACUAAACCAUACUAUAGAAGCACAAACCCUCUUUUUCAAUACCCAUACAUAAUUUGCUUAUAUUGCUUUAUGUUAGAUGCUUAUAUAGUGAAAUUAAUACUCACAGGCCCAUCUAAAUGACAUGUCAGUGUGACCCAACCUACACGUGUCAAACGUUAUUAGCCAAAUAUAGUUACUCCCCUCCACGAGUUCUCCAAAUAAAGCCACUUUGGUUAUUUUUGAUAGCUAAUACAUGUCUUCCUUCUAUCUGAAGGAAUCGCUUCCCGACAAAGGGGUUAAAAAACAUUAAAUGCACCCCAUCCCCCUCUUUUCCCAAGCUAUCCAUUUAAAGGGCAAAGAGAAGGUUACUCUCAUUCCCAUCAAGUUUGCUUCCAGGUCUCUUGGUAUAGCCUAUAGACCUUGCACCUCUCAUUGCCAGGGUCAGGUACGAUAUCCAUCUCCAUAUCCACAUAUAUUUCUUUUCCUUAUGAGAAUCGCCGUUCUUUUUGUUGUAUUACUUGAUAUCUAUCUCCAUAUAUAGCUACAUUUCUUUUCCUUAUUUGAGUAUCACCAUUCUCUUUGUUAUAUCAUGAUCGUUAAAUCAAAUUAGUUUUAGAUUUCCAUGUCAUUAUGGAUUGUGUUAAUUUUUUUGAAACUAUUUAUGCCUAUCUAAUAACUAUUGCCUUUUUAUUACCUUAUUUCUUUUGAAUGAAAAAUAAUAAUAAUAAUAUCAUGGAUUAACAAGCUGAUCACUUCCAAUCUAUGAUGGCAUCUUAGAUUGUACCGAUGAUCGACCAAGUCAGGGAAGAGAUCUAGGAUCCCCAUCCUUUUUAAACUAAUAGGCCUCAACUAGUAUUGCUAGGUACAGGUACCAAGCAAGACAAGGACUAGAACAUAUUCUCAUGAUGAGACCAUGCCAAAAGGCCCCCAAAUGCCCUCUUUUGUUGCAUUCAAAAGUGGAGAGGGAAAGGGAAAAACAUAGGAAGAAGAGGAUGAGAGCAAAGGUCCAGUUGGGAGAGCUUAGAUCCAACCUCAUUCAAGCCCUAAAUAAACAUAAAAAAUGCUAAAUAAAUAUAUAAAAAAAUCUUAACUAAAAAAUAAGAGACUCAAAAAGUAAAAAAAGUAUGAAAACAAAUAACAAAAAAAAAAAAAGGCUCUAGUAUUUAUUGGGACACCAACAUAUUCCAAGUAUUGGUGCAAGGGCAUCUUGAUACCAUAUUGACUUGCAACCCGACCGAUACUGGCACCAAGAUUAGGACUUUAAACUUGGUAUUUUGAAAUUCUACAACAUUGGCCUAGAUUAACUUCCACAUGUUUUAGAUAAGAAAUAUUGUGAUUUGCAUCAGGUGAAUAUACUACAGAUAUCAAGGUUUUAGUUACCAAUGCAACAAGUCUCUAUUGGGAGUAGCAUUCUGUUAAGGAAUUGGUACGUGGCAUAGGCGCAGGAUACUGGCAUUUUUAUGAGACAAGAUGUCCCAUCUGUCCUGAUCAAAAUUGGUUGGGGCUGGCCGAUACUAGCGCCAAUUCGGCUAGUACCAAGGUGAAACCCCACUAGGUCACCAAGUUUUCAAGAAAAGAGAAAGAAAGAAGUGGGCAUGAGGGUCAUGCUCGCUUAUCUUGUUGGUUUAGUCAUGGAGGUGGGCAUGUGCAAUAGAAAUAGAGGGAGGGAGAGAGAAAGAGAGAGCUGGGAAGGGAGAUAAGGGGAGGAGAAAGUAGAAAAAAUAGAGCAACUCUCUGCCUUCAAAAUGUUCUAGCUUCCUUGAUGCCAAAAAUUUUAUCUAAGGAUAUUAAAACAUAUCAAUACUCAUUACAAUUUCAUUAAAAAUUAAAAAAAUUGAAAAUUAACAAUUAUGUUCCGAUAUGGUAUCAAUAUGCAGUCUUAAGAGUUGUGUACCACAACAUUCCAAGACAAAACAAACAUUGGGCUUGGUAUUGCUAUUUAAACCCUUGGUGGAUACCAAAGUGAUAAUUACAACUUAUAUUGGGUUACAAUAUCCAUUCUAGAUUACAUGAUUCCAUGAAGCUUCAGACUUGUUGAUGAUCAUGUAAUCAAUUUGUAAUCUUUUCAAAUGUUCAACUUUACGAGUCUCAAAAUUAAUUACAAAUAAUUGCUAUAAUUAUAAUGUCUAAUUCUUCUUUAUUAUCUUGUAACCCACCAUUUUAACCAAAAAUGUUCUUUGUCAUGCAUAAGUAGCACAUGCUAGACUUCUACCUUUCCCAAUUUUGAUUUGGUAAAUACUUUUCUUUUCAUAUUGUUAAAUCAAAUGGUUAUUAUAAUUUUUUCUCUUCAUUUAUGGUAUAACCCUACAAUCAACUAAUUAACAUUUUGAACUGCAAUAAUCACAUGAUACUAUAAAUAUCAUUGCAUGUGUCAUAUACAAGACCAGGGCACCAAAAUGGACCUGAAAGGGAAAGGUCUCUUUUAUGGAGAUGACAAAUUCCCUACUGAGUAUGACGAUGGGACUGUCAAUUGUGCAUUGAGGUUGGGAUCUACUCCCACCUUGAAAUUGCAAUCAGCAGGGGAAGCAACACUUCGCCAACCACAGGUAAUUAAUAUUUUUUAUCCUUUGUUGUAUAUGGAUAUUUUUAAGUCAUCAAUUAAAUGCAUGUUCUUACAUUCUGAUUUCUUUUUGAUAUAGUCAAGAAAUUAAUACAUGCCUAAAAAGGUAGAAUUAUUGGUAUGAUAGUAAUCAGUGGGAGCAAUAAAAGGAGAAAGAGAAAGGGCAAUGACUUAAAUGCUACAGAAUGGAUUUUAUGGACAGACCAUCAUGCGCAACCUUUUGGUUUUUGGCUUAAUUAGUGCAAUUACAUGAUAAGUAUGAACAUGUUGCUAUGUUUCGUAUAACAUGACAGGUCCUGCAUCGGGCAACAAAAUAUCCAGAAGAGUCUUCUGACAUAGAUUGUACACUGAGGUUGGGCUAUAAAGUUGAGACACCACUGCAGCCAUCAAAAACUGAACAACAUCGAGAGCCCAGAAUGAAGGGACCACCAGCCACUUACCAGGUCCCCAGGGUAAUGUAAUUUUUUUUUCUUGGCUUCAUGUGAAACAAUUUAUUGGUCAUUCCAUCUAUCUAUGGGUCUUUCUAAGGGGCGGUAGAGAUUCCCAACUAUUCGAACCAUAUAAUAUCUUCAAAAUCAGAGGUAAUUGCGAAAGAAGAGAAGACAUGAGAAGCCAUCAGCUACAUCCCCAAUCUCUCCUAUUUCCUUCCCUAGCCUCCUCUCUUUAGUCAAUUCCCACCACUAUAUGAGAUAACACACAGAUUCAGCAGGUGGGAAUUCAUACGGUCCCUUAAGAAUCAGCAUAUAGACUCAAGAAUAUGACAUAUUGCUUAUUACUUUUUUAGUGAAAUAACAGAAAAAGGGACGGUUAGAAAAGGAAUGACCUUAAUUGAUCAUAAGAAGUAAGUCUUUUAAUAAAAAACAUAAAAAUAACGAUUCGUAUGAUCUAAGUAUAACAAUAAUGACUACCUGUUCUCUUGAGAAAGAAAGUAGCUAUUAUCAAAUCUCCGAGUUGCCAUGGAUAAUCUUUUUUUAUAGUUUUGCCAUAUAGGUUUAGUAAAAUAUGCAUUAGUUUUUAAGAAACAAUUUUUUUGUUUUUUAUAUGUCUUAUUAAUUAAAGUUCUAUUUAAAGGUGCUUUGUUCUUUUAUGUCAGAUAUUAUGCAAUGAUUGUCGGAUUCUCUUAAGAAAGGAGCUGGAGAAACGUGCUGAGGCUUACAAUCUCCUUGCCCAGAGGAAGAAUAAUGAAGAGGCUGGAAAUAGGUCCAUGACUUAGUUUCUUCUGCAGUAUAUUUGGGAUGAAAACAAUUUGAAAUAAAUAAAGACCUGUAUGGAUGUAAUAAGUAUGCUUACUUUAAAAAAAUCUAGUUUUGUUUUCGAUCUAUUGUUAAGAUGCAUAUCACUAAAUUGAUCUGAUGGACCAAACCAAGUUAAUAGCACAUCUUAGUACUUAUCAUGCAAAUCACUCAUCUAGUGAACUAGCUCCUCCAAUCAAAACACUCCCAUUAAUUGGUUGGGGAGGGGGUAGAGAGUAUACAACAAGUGGCCCAUUGUUGACCUUUGAUAUCAAUAUCAUAUCAACAAGUGAUAGGAGGAUAUAGUUUAAUGUUUGCAGUCAUUUCUUGUUGAUAAAGGAUUAGUGUUCCCCAAAAUUUUAGAUGCAUAAAACUCAAUUGCAGCCUUUAGAUAUCGUGACCUGCUAAAACAUGUAUAACAAUGUCAUUCUUCGAGCAGCUGUUGACAUAUACAUACAGAUUUCUUGCUUUAAAAUAGCUUAGUUUGAUGAAUGACAUUACUUAGACUGUAUAUGUACAACAGAACAAUAUAGAAUUUGAUCAAAAGAAUAAUGCAUUGACUUUUUGUGAGCUGAAUAUGUUGUAUGUAAGCAUAUAAUUUUGGCUAAUAUAAGAGAGCCUAGAGUCAUAUUCUUGGUCUUUCACAUGUGAGACAACAACAUGUGUAUAUAAACUAAGAAAUUAUAGGGUACUUCCUAAUCCUCGAGAACUAUAAAACCACUUCAAGGUUCCAAAAUAUUAUGCUACAUCCUGAAUAAACAUUUUGGUUCUAGUAAAAAUACAAAAGUUUCAUUAUCUUGAACUCCUUAUAAUGCAUAUGAGAAAGAUGUACUUCUCCACUUUCUGCAACAUGAUAACAAUCAGUAUAAAUUGCAAAUCUUAUGCACCAGUUCAAAUAUAAAAUCCUAGACAGAAUUAAGAUUUUAAAAAAUAAUUAAUUUUACAACAUAUCAUUGGCAAGUGAUAUAUAUGGAUUUGCUGCUCACCUAGUUCAUCUUUAACUUUCAAGUAGAGCUGGCAAAGAUACUACCUUCAGCUCCAAUCUUAGUGUGUGCACAAGGUAUCACAAAUUGCAUCCUCCUGUAACAUAAGUCAUUAUACAUGCUAGUUAAAGGAAGAAAAAUUCUUUAACAAAGAAAGAAAAAAAUCCCACCAAAUCUAUGCACUUAAGUUGAAUAAAAAAAAAUAUAGGAAAAGAAAUGCCAUCAGAAGAAUAGAGACAUCAAUAAAUGCAAAAAUAAAAAGAACUCAAAUACAGGUCAGCCUUACAAUUCCAUUGUUAUAGAGGAGGAAACAAAAAGUUCAGUUGAUUGGACAAGAUACAGACCCAAUAAAUCAAAGACAACCCAGGAAUACAACAAUACUUCAUCUUUUUUGACACAAAUGAAAAGAACUUAUUGAUGAAAAAAAACAAUUGACAACUCAAUCCCUGUAGAGCUCUCUCUCUCUCUCUCUCUCUCUGUGUGUGUGUAUGUGUGUGUGUGUAACUCAGAUUUGUCCUGGUCAUAUUUGAAGUUGGCAAAUUAAUCCCGACCAAUCUUAUAGUGGCAUUUACAUAGUUUAAGUGAAUGACAAUCAUGACCUUAUCUCCAGUAACUCUCUCACUUCUUUUCUCCAUAAUGCUACCACCCAAUUAGCUGCUUGUGUCAGCUAACCAGAUACCCUGAUUGCCCACAAUCCAGCAGAGUGGGUACCAUUAAAACAAGGACGGGAGAAUAUCUACUUAGCUUGCAUAAGUGUCCCAGUGUGUGUAGGUUGGGUCGAGUUUUGCCAUAGGAGGGGAAUAGAAAGUAAGACGAUAAGGACAUUGAUGAUAGUAUCAUGGUCAUUAGAUUUGCCAUAUGGAUCACUCGGCUAUGAAUUGGCAAUAGUGUCUCUCUGCAAGUUUCAAACAUCCAAGAUCUCUUGCUUGAUCACUAAAAAAUGAUCUGACGUGACUAUAUUAUCAUCCUGACCAGCUAAAUGGUGGCCAAACACGAAACCAGUAUAAGGGACGGCCAGGACUGGUGUUUUGUUACAUCCAAAUUAUAAAACAAAAACAGACAUAUAAAUACCACUACGAAAAUUAAACUAUAGCAGCAACUUCGUGAAAGAAGACUCGAUCUCCAAUCAGCAGAACUAAAUCCAACGAAGCUUCCAAAUUCCUUUUAGCUGAAACCAUCUCGUCCAUGGUUCUCUCAUCCGUGAGCGCAUAAUGAAACAAGAGAACAAAAGUGAUCAAAUAGACAUGCCAAAAAAAUAAACACCAAGAAUUAGGGUUCACUAGGUGGGGGAAAAAGAAAAAAAAAAGAAAUUCUAACUUUAUCUAGCUUGAGAUCACAGUUUCCAUCUUGCUGCCAAGAAACAUAUCUAAUCCAACUUAAACAUCGAGUCGGAAAUUUCAAAAGACAAUUCAUAUACCCUAAGCAAGAACCAGCAUCAGCACCCACAAACAAGAAAUCGAAAUCCUAUAGCAUUUCCAAGAAAAACGGAUCAAAGAAUUCGGAGCAAACGCUAACAACGAGAAGGGGAAACGGAAAGAGACAUACUGAUCGAUCGUAGAAGGGCACCCGAGAGAAGAACGAGCAAGAACUGAUCGGUGAACCCAAAGAAACGAAACCCUAGAAACAACCGAAUUUUUCCCCGAAAAUCUUCCAACGCCCGCGUCCUUGUUCCUCGGAUCACAAAGUUGGGAGACCAAGAAUUUGCGGAAAACAUUUGCCGAAACAAAGACGCCACGGCCGUUAUUUCGGCGUUUGUCCCUCAAGUGGUAGAGUCGGCAGUUAAGCCCGGUGGAACAUAUUUCUAACAAAGUCCCUAGGUUCAUCUUAACUUUUAAUAAGCCUCAAAAUCACCAGCUUCGUAUGAAACAUUUCCUUGAAAGCUUAUAUGUAGGUUCUUAAUUGAGCUCAAAUUUAUAAUUAAGAGUUUUUUCAC